rnacentral:rRNA from 1 species
CGGUUAAAAAGCUCGUAGUUGGAUUUCUGUUGAGGAUGACCGGUCCGCUCUUUGAGCGCGUAUCUGGUUCAGCCUUGGCAUCCUCUUGGGGAACGCUACUGUGUUUGAUUGCAUGGGGCGGUAUUCAAGACUUUUACUUUGAGGAAAUUAGAGUGUUCACUGCAAGCGUUAGCAAUUGAAUACAUUAGCAUGGAAUAAUAAUAUAGGACCUUGGUACUAUUUUGUUGGUUUCUAGAACUAAGGUAACGAUUAAUAGGGACAAUUGGGGGCAUUCGUAUUAACGCGUCAGAGGUGGAAUUCUUAGAUUGCGUUACGACGAACUACUGCGAAAGCAUUUGCCAAGUAUGUUUUCAUUGAUCAAGAACGAAAGUAUGGGGAUCGAAGACGCUUAGAUACCGUCGUAGUCUAUACCAUAAACUAUGCCAACUAGAGAUUGGAGGUCGUUCUCUUUAUGACUCCUUCAGCACCUUAUGAGAAAUCAAAGUCUUUGGGUUCCGGGGGGGAGUAUGGUCGCAAGGCUGAAACUUAAAGGAAUUGACGGAAGGGCACCACCAGGAGUGGAGCCUGCGGCUUAAUUUGACUCAACACGGGAAAACUUACCAGGUCCAGACAUA